UUGUGGUGCCGUCCUAGUGCUGCCAGCUAACGCCCGUGGACUAGAUCCCUCCCCACGCCCGUGCUGCCGGUCCCGGUCUACCCCCGUUUCAUGCUCAGGGAAAUAGAGGUCAGAAUGGUGGAUCCCCACGAGGGCGUACUUACCUGGACAGGACCUGGGGAAGCCUUCAAGAUGCUGGAAGCGAUCAACAUCUUGAUCCGGAUGGCAAUAACACAGCAGCUACUAGCAAAUUUAAAAGUACACGUGUCCCGAAUAGUUUCCACGGAAUAGCGCUGUUCCAGGGCCUGGGAACCCUCGGCUGGAUCCCUCCGUCUGGCUGGCAGGUAAUGAACGAGCGAGAGCAAGCAGAGGGCUGCGCAGCGGCUUCCGUAUUCCUGUGUAUGGAAGUCAGUCCCAAUGUCACACCUAAGGACAAAGGAGGGGAGACACCGUCUGCCCAGAAGGGGAGCAAACAGACUCGAGAAGAAGGAAGAGGGAGAAAGGGAUAGAAACUUCAAUGAUGAGAGAGCAUCAUGCCCCCUAUGGGUCGAGCCCACAACCCAGGCAUGAGCCCCGACCAGGAAUCAAACCCUGACCUUCAGGUUCUUAGGUCGAUGCUCAACCACUGAGCAACACCGGCCGGGCCAGAAAUGUAAUCUUAAUCAACCAGUCCGGAAUUUCUUGGCCAAGCACUAGUGAGGUAAUCUGUCAUGUUUGUGGCCCUCCCCAUCUCCCUCCCCACCCCAUAAAAAGAAGAGGCAAUCUGCUGCAUUAAAAAAAAAAAAAAAAAAUCCUUGCUGUUCUCUUCCCCCCAAAAGCAGUUGUCCAGGUCUAAAAAUAAUCUUUUCUUUUGUUAACAGCUCCCUUGCCCCACCCUUCUUCCUAUAAAACCGUCCAUUUUGUAAAACCCUUGGAGCGCCCAUCUGAUGGGAUGCUGCCCAAUUCACAGUCACUCCGUGGAAUUUUGUUUUUAUCGUGGUCGGUGUGUAGCAGGUAGAAAUGACUAUUAAACGGUU